GUGUGAUAUUGAAAAAGCCAUAUCAUAUACACUUUAUUAUAUACAUAUACCUCGAGUAGAUGUUUUUUUUUUAUGUAACAUGACGUCAUACAGAUAAGGACGUUUGAAAUGACGUCAUACAUAUUAUAGGUUUGACAUGACGUCAUACAGAUUAGGGAUUUGAUAAAGCCUUUUCAACAGUGACUGCAAUCGAUGACGUGACG
rnacentral:lncRNA from 1 species